rnacentral:misc_RNA from 1 species
GCCAAUUACAAAAUUAAACAGUCCUUCAGACAUUGGAUGAAGCACCGGUGCCUCUAUCAAGUGGAUGCCCCCAGCAUUCAGAAGAGGCAGAAUGAAGAAGAAAUUGAGGGAGAGACCAACCAAAUCAUUGACUGUUUCUGAACUAAUUGCCCAUACAGGAUCUCCAGGUGCAUAAGGAAGUAAAAAGAGCCACAAUACAUAAACGCCUUCUGCGGUCCACAGUAUAGCCUGAGUUAAUUUCCUCGAUUUAUCAUCCCUUUCAAUAAUUGAAUCCACUCCUCCGCCACCGCGACGGCCGCCGCCAGCUCUAGUGGUAAAAACCGGUAUCCGACGACCUAAUUGUAUACUCUUCUUCACUUUAAGCUUCAACCCUAACAGAGAACUUGUCUCGGACAAUUUCACAUUUCGUCCAAAUGCCGAAUUAUAGUCCCGUCUUCCAUGGAUAGCAGAUUGAUUUCCGUAUAUGAGAGUCUUUGUGCAUAGCAGAGUUGCCGCCGGCAUUUCCGAAGUUCGCCGGAAAAUGGCUUCUGUAAAA